rnacentral:RNase_P_RNA from 1 species
UCAGUCGGCCGGACGGCCGCUCCCGCUGGUGCCGAAAGGCCGCGGGAGAGGAAAGUCCGGGCUCCAUCGACAUGCGGUGCCGGAUAACGUCCGGCGGGGGCGACCCCAGGGAAAGUGCCACAGAGAAUGAACCGCCCCGCUUCGGCGAGGUAAGGGUGAAAAGGUGCGGUAAGAGCGCACCGCGUUUCCGGCAACGGAGACGGCAUGGCAAACCACACCGGGAGCAAAACCGAAUAGGGACGGCAACGCGGUUAGUUCGCGCAUGCGCGAUAACACCGCAGGGCGAUGUCAGGCCCGCUGUCCGGGUAGGUUGCUCGAGGCAAGGUGCAAACCUUGUCCCAGAGGAAUGGCCGUCGCGUACCGUUCGCGAGAAUGGUGCCCUACAGAACCCGGCUUACAGGCCGGCUGAUAUU